UUCGUGUUGAAGCGAUGCAACGGUGUUC
rnacentral:sRNA from 1 species